GGCUCAGGACGAACGCUGGCGGCGUGCCUAAUACAUGCAAGUCGAGCGGACAGAAGGGAGCUUGCUCCCGGAUGUUAGCGGCGGACGGGUGAGUAACACGUGGGUAACCUGCCUGUAAGACUGGGAUAACUCCGGGAAACCGGAGCUAAUACCGGAUAGUUCCUUGAACCGCAUGGUUCAAGGAUGAAAGACGGUUUCGGCUGUCACUUACAGAUGGACCCGCGGCGCAUUAGCUAGUUGGUGGGGUAAUGGCUCACCAAGGCGACGAUGCGUAGCCGACCUGAGAGGGUGAUCGGCCACACUGGGACUGAGACACGGCCCAGACUCCUACGGGAGGCAGCAGUAGGGAAUCUUCCGCAAUGGACGAAAGUCUGACGGAGCAACGCCGCGUGAGUGAUGAAGGUUUUCGGAUCGUAAAGCUCUGUUGUUAGGGAAGAACAAGUGCGAGAGUAACUGCUCGCACCUUGACGGUACCUAACCAGAAAGCCACGGCUAACUACGUGCCAGCAGCCGCGGUAAUACGUAGGUGGCAAGCGUUGUCCGGAAUUAUUGGGCGUAAAGGGCUCGCAGGCGGUUUCUUAAGUCUGAUGUGAAAGCCCCCGGCUCAACCGGGGAGGGUCAUUGGAAACUGGGAAACUUGAGUGCAGAAGAGGAGAGUGGAAUUCCACGUGUAGCGGUGAAAUGCGUAGAGAUGUGGAGGAACACCAGUGGCGAAGGCGACUCUCUGGUCUGUAACUGACGCUGAGGAGCGAAAGCGUGGGGAGCGAACAGGAUUAGAUACCCUGGUAGUCCACGCCGUAAACGAUGAGUGCUAAGUGUUAGGGGG
rnacentral:rRNA from 1 species